rnacentral:rRNA from 1 species
AGCAGCCGCGGUAAUUCCAGCUCCAAUAGCGUAUAUUAAAGUUGUUGCAGUUAAAAAAGCUCGUAGUUGAAUUUCGGAAUCAGUACGGCGGUCGUGCCUCUGGUAUGUACUGUUGUUACUGGUUUCUCCCUUCUGAAGAACUAUCAUGUCAUUAAUUUGGUGUGGUGGGGAAUCAGGACUAGUUACUUUGAAAAAAUUAGAGUGUUUAAAGCAGGCUCGCGCUUGAAUACAUUAGCAUGGAAUAAUGAAAUAGGACGUUUGAUCCUAUUUUGUUGGUUUCUAGGAUUGACGUAAUGAUUAAUAGGGAUAGUUGGGGGCAUUAGUAUUCAAUUGUCAGAGGUGAAAUUCUUGGAUUUAUUGAAGACUAACUACUGCGAAAGCAUUUGCCAAGGAUGUUUU